AAACCCUAUUCUCUUUGUAGCAUUUUUCUUCGCUCACCAUACACAUGUGCUCACCAUACACAUGUGCACACAUGUAUAGAUUGUUCUGGAAAUGUGUUGGUUGUGAUUUGUGUUGAUUUUAUGGGUUUAGUUCCUAAAAUGUUGAUUCCGUUGUUGGUUAUUCUUUUGUGUAUUCGUCAAUUUCUUUUGAUUGAAAUGCUGUAUUUGUGAGAUGGGUUCAAUUGAUUUCAUCCCCUGGCUUCUGGGUUUCUUUUACUCUACAGCAGUUAGAAGGGGAAAAUUAGUACGAGGCUGUGGAUUCUGAUUACUGGGUCUUUUAUUUAUUUAUUAUUAAUUUUAUGUUUGAUUUCCUUGUAUUAUUUUUUAUCACAGAGUUGAAAAUUUGUCUAAACAUAGAUUGUGAUCCUAUUCCUCUUAAUUCAUAAGUCUCUCUCUCUCUCUCUCUCUCUCUCUCUCUCUCUCAAUUACUAUGCAAAUGCCUUUGACCUGCAUUAGAUGUUUGUGGAGGUACCCAUCAGAACUAUUCCUUCUUCUAAUCUUUUAUACUGACCAGAUGUAAUGCCCCACUAUUUCUUGUAACCCCUUGUAAACUAUGUUGGAUGUUACUAUAAUGCAGCAAUACUAUAGUUUAUGUCAUGGAUUUAGCGCAUUCCUUAAAUUUCUUCCGCAUUCAUUUUUUAUUAAACUUCAAUUUUUUGUUCCCUUGGAAAUUAAAUUAUAACUGACGUUUAGAUUUAACACUUUAACUACUUCCAAAAUGGAAGCAGCGAAAUGUGGGACUGGCAUGGAGAGGGUUAUUGUCUCCAGAAGGAAACCAAUCUGGACAUAUCUCCAUGCCUUUGGGAUGGAGUAAGCCAGAAUGAAGAAGAUCUGUCCUACAUGUUUGACGAAACAACACCUGUUAAGGCCUGUGGGGAUUUGGCUUACCAUGUUGCU